UACGUAGGGGGCAAGCGUUGUCCGGAAUCAUUGGGCGUAAAGAGCGCGUAGGCGGCCAGAUAAGUCCGGUGUGAAAGUCACAGGCUCAACCUGUGAAUGCCGCUGGAAACUGUCUGGCUAGAGUCCGGAAGGGGCGAGUGGAAUUCCUGGUGUAGCGGUGAAAUGCGCAGAUAUCAGGAGGAACACCGGUGGCGAAGGCGGGUCUCUGGGCAGUAACUGACGCUGAGGAGCGAAAGCGUGGGGAGCGAACAGG
rnacentral:rRNA from 1 species